AAGACGCCAAGGUGAUGGCACCCGAACUCCCGUUCCUCCUGGGCGUUUCUUCUCCAAAUCCAAAGUCAGGGUCCAAGACUGCUGCGAUGCAUCAGCCCCGCCCCUCGUAUCCCAUCCUGAGGAGGCGGAAAUGUUCAGGUCCUUGUCUUAAAGCAAGGGAAACAGCUCUUAUUCAAAGGAACUAGAAGCCUCUCCCUCAGUGGUGGGGAGAUAACCAGGAGCUGUUUUCUGGGGGAAUUGUGGGAUGUGCCCUUGGGGGCCCAAGAAAACUGAAGGAAGAUGCUCCAGACCAGUAACUACAGCCUGGUGCUCUCUCUGCAGUUCCUGCUGCUGUCCUAUGACCUCUUUGUCAAUUCCUUCUCAGAACUGCUCCGAAAGGCUCCUGUCGUCCAGCUCGUACUCUUCAUCAUCCAGGAUAUUGCAGUCCUCUUCAACAUCAUCAUCAUUUUCCUCAUGUUCUUCAACACCUUCGUCUUCCAGGCUGGCCUGGUCAACCUCCUGUUCCAUAAGUUCAAAGGGACCAUCAUCCUGACAGCUGUGUACUUUGCCCUCAGCAUCUCCCUUCAUGUCUGGGUCAUGAACUUACGCUGGAAAAACUCCAACAGCUUCAUAUGGACAGAUGGACUUCAAGCGCUGUUUGUAUUCCAGAGACUAGUUACAGGGCUUUGGCUCCUGGGUCUAAGAAGGACACCAACUCCUGCUAAAUAUUAAACACUGACAGCAAUUGAAGCCCCACCUUCAGGCCGUAUAGAAGAUGCUGAUCAGAGUAAACUGCGUUCUUGAAGCACAGGGCUGGAAAUUAAAGCUAUUCAACUCUUCAAGGCCCAGGGCCUACCAAGGAAGAGUAAAGACAGAGUUUCACCAUGUUGGCUAGGCUGGUCUUGAACUCCUGACCUUGGGUGAUCCGCUUGUCUCAACCUCCCAAAAUGCUGGGAUUACAGGUGUGAGCCACCACACCCAGCCUUGGAAACUCCUAUAAUUCUGAUAUGAUUUAGUGUACAUUAUCAGUAAUAAUUUUAAUUAUUCUGUUAAAUUAUUGUGUGCCACAGAGGUAACAAAUUUCCUUGUCAAUUUUGUCUUUGACUAUGGCUGCCCUAAAACUUUUUGUCAUCCAUGGACAAUUAUUGUUUUGUUUUGGUCCUGUUUAGAAGACGGUUUUAUGGUCAGCUAUAAAACUCUAGGAAGGGUGCGGUGGCUCAUGCCUGUAAUCCCAGCACUUUGGGAGGCCAAGAUGGAUGGAUCAUGAGGUCAGGAGAUUGAGACUAUCCUGGGCAAUAAAGUGUAACCCCAUCUCUACGAAAAACAUGAAAAUUAGCUGGGUGUGGCAGCACAUGCCUGUAAUCCCAGCUACUCAAGAGGAUGAGGCAGGAGAAUCACUUGAAUCUGGCAGACAGAAGUUGCAGUGAGCCAAGAUCUCGCCACUGAACUCCAGCUUGGCAACAGAGCCAGAUUCCAUUUCAAAAAAAAAAAAAACAACAACAAAAAACUCAUAACAGGUGCUCUUGAAUACAGGUUUCUGAUAACUUUGGAGAUUGUGGCAUCCAAAUAGAGAAAAAACGUUCAGAACUCAUGGAGAACUGAAAUGUUCAUGAAAAUCAAGCAGAACAGGAAUUAGGAGUCUAAUAGGAGUCUGAAGUAAUCUUUUUAACUUUAUGCCUAAAAUGUUGCUGAUCCUUUGUUUUGUUUUUCAGAGUCAAGAAAAUGUUUAAGCUAUUUAUACAGCUUUUAACAAUUGAGUAAAGUAUAUGAACUAAACAUGGAGCAUAUUUGUUUUCCUGGUUUCUCCAGAAUUUGAAAACUAUUUGUGAGUAUUCUUUUUUUUUCUUUUUGAGAUGGAGUUUCACUCUUGUUACCCAGGCUGGAGUGCAAUGGUGCAAUCUCAGCUCACUGCAACCUCUGUUUCCUGUUUCAAGUGAGUCUCCUGCCUCAGCCUCCCAAGUAGCUGGGAUUACAGAUGCCCACCACCAUGCCCAGCUAAUUUUUUGUGUUUUUAGUAGAGACAGUUUCACCAUGUUGGCCACACUGGUCUCGAAUUCCUGACCUCAUGCGAUCCACCUGCCUCGGCUUCCCAAAGUGCUGGGAUUACAGGUGUGAGCCACCUUGUCCAGCUGUGAGUAUUCUUAACUUAUGACAAUACAGUUAUUUGCAUAUGUAUAAUAAGAAUCUGUUAUUAUUUGUAACAGAAUACAAUUGGAGAAACUGGUUAUUUUACCAAGGCUUUUCUUUAAGGAAUCAAACUUGACUUUAUGGAGCCAAUAAAAGCCCCAUGGGAAAACUUGCCCCAUACUUUGUCCACACAGCCCCUGUACAAGGUUCCUGACCCGAAGCAAGUAAAGAAUGUCACUUUCUGACAGGCCCAGGAACCCCAAGUUUAUCUUGUGGAACCUCAAGAGGAGAGGAGCAUGCAACUGAUAGGUAUGUGAUGGCACAAUUCAUGGCUGCACUCGGCUUUUAAAAAGUUUUAUCUGAGAUUCUUUUUAUGAAACUAAGUUCCAUCAAAGUCACUUUAAAAGCCUAUGUAAAAAAUAAUUAGGCCGGGUGCGGUGGCUCAUGCCUGAAAUCCCAGCACUUUGGGAGGCCAAGGCAGGUGGAUCACCUGAGGUCAGGAGUUCAAGACCAGCCUGGCCAACAUGGUGAAACACUGUCUGUACUAAAAAUACAAAAAUUAGCCGGGCACUGUAGUGGGCGCCUGUAAUCCCAGCUACUAGGCACUUGAGCCUAGGAGGCAGAGGUUGCAGUGAGCUGAGAUCGUGUCACUGCACUACAGCCUGGACGACAGAGCAAGAUUCUGUCUCAAAAAAAAAAAAAAUUACUCCGCCAGCCACAGUGACUCAUGCCUGUAAUCCCAGCACUUUGAGAGGCCGAGGUGGGUAGAUCAACUGAGGUCAAGUGUUCAAAAGCAGCCUAGACAACAUGGUGAAACCUCAUCUCUACUAAAAAUACAAAAUGUAGCCAGGCAUGGUGGUGCAUGCCUGCAAUCCCAGCUACUCGGUAGGCUGAGGUGGGAGAAUUGCUUGAACCUGGGAGGCAGAGGCUGCAGUGAGCUGAGAUUGUGCCACUGCACUCCAGCCUGGGCAACAGAGCGAGACUCCAUCUCAAAAAAAAAGAAUGUAAUAAAUCGUCUGUUAUCUACCUUUGACCUGGAAGCCCCCUCCUCUGCUUAGAGUUGUCCCACCUUUCUGGACCAAACCAAUGUACAUCUUACACAUACUGACUGACAUCUCAUGUCUCCCUAAAAUGUAUAAAACCAACCUGUGCACUGACCACCUUGAGCACGUGUUGUCAGGACCUCCUGAGGCUGUGUUACAGGUGUGUGUCCUCGACCUUGGCAAAAUAAACGUUCUAAAUUAACUGA